GCGCGAAUCAAAAAGUCGCUGUGAAUCAUGUGAGACCAUCAGCGCGAUAACAGGGAGUGUUAACUUUUUUAUUAUGCAGUCCACAAAUGUGCCCAAGUUGUCUAUGGAUGGCCAAAAAACUACACGCUUGCGAUUCCUUUGUCUCCCCUAACCCAUCCUCCCCUUUAACAUGUGAGCUGCCGCUGUCUGUCACUGUCGCGUGCUCACCGUGUCGCCUCGAGACGCCUUUUGCUCCUAAUACCCGACUCUGUGUCGCUCUGGCUGCUGUCGUAUGCUGUCUACUUACUGUCCUGUCAAGUCCAAUGACGAACGCCAGUGCCUAUUAACAGCGUGACGACACUGACGCUGACACUACAGCGACACUCCCAUCCAUUCAUAAAGUGGAGCGCGAACGAUUCUGUCUCCAGCUCGCGCGGACAGUCCACGGCGCGUGUUGGAUGUCAGCAUUGGUUCACCUCUGAUCACGCUGUCCAGGCCAGAGUGCCCAUCUGGAGCCCACACGGUCCAUCAACCCAGUCUCCUAUAUAAACCUGUUCAAGAGGUGAAUUGACCUAUUGCACCCAGCGGAGGAGAUAAGCGCAGCUGUUGGAGCGGGUGGAGUGUGCACACGUCUCACUCUCGAGAUGACCAGAUGAAUCAUCAGCAUGGUGUCAACCUCUUUCUCAGUCCGCUUUCUUUUCCUCCAUGUCUCCAGCCAAUCUCUCUCAUCCAGUAUCUGUCUGUGUGUCUGAUCUCACUUCCUCCUCCUGCUGAUUCCAGUCUAUUUAUAUGAACUGUUUUCAGGAGACACUUUUCCCUAAUUUCCUCUUUGCGUCUGUUUUUUUCCUCAGCUCCAGACUGGUGAGGAAUUAUUUGUCAAUCCCUGUGUGACAAAGCUUUCCCAGCAGGCUCAACGCUGAGGCCGAUAGAUUUUGGAAAGCCUUGAGAGGGGCAACGAGUGCCACGUGUUGCACCCAGACAUCUCCAAAUUAAUCAUUCACAUUAAUGGGAUGCAUCGGGCAGAUUUUGUUUGCUGAACAUCAAAGCAGGGUCACUGGGUUUGGUGAUUGCUAAAAAUAUGAUGACAAAUAGGCAGGAUAGAAAGUGAAUAAACUCAUGUUUUAUAUGGACACAUUAUUGUGCACAAUUCAAUGCCAGUUCGAUCUCUUCUUCAUGAAUAAAAAUGUAUGUGCAUCUGCAGAGUUUUAUAAUUGUGGUCAUUUGCGUCUGUGCUGUCCUCGAAACCCUCUCCCCAUCACAUUUACAUGAAUGAACAUGUAAAAUCUUGCCUCAAAACAUAUUCCAUUCAGCCUAAUGAGCCUGUUAUAGUCUCUAUUGGCUUUUAUAAUAACAAGUAUGGAAGCCAGAACAAACAAACAACUAAUGCAUGUUUAAUUCCCAUAGCUAAUUAGACCCUUUU